rnacentral:misc_RNA from 1 species
AACGCACGAGACCUGCGGACCUGCGGAGGGAUCAUUAAUGAGAAGCUGCCCCUCGUGGGUAGACCUCCCACCCUCUGUGAACUUACCUUUGUUGCUUUGGCAGGCCCGUCCUCUGGACCGCCGGCUUCGGCUGGCCCGUGCCUGCCAGAGGAUUCCAAACCCUGUCUGUCAGUGUUGUCUGAGUCUGUAUGAAAUCGUUAAAACUUUUAACAACGGAUCUCUAGAUCGGAAGAGCACACG